UCUGGUUGAUCCUGCCAGUAGUCAUAUGCUUGUCUCAAAGAUUAAGCCAUGCAUGUCUAAGUAUAAAUAGUAUACAGUGAAACUGCGAAUGGCUCAUUAAAACAGUUAUAGUUUAUUCGAUAAUUGACAAUUACAUGGAUAACCGUGGUAAUUCUAGAGCUAAUACAUGCUUAAACGCCCGACUUUAUGGAAGGGUGGUAUUUAUUAGACUGAAGCCAAUAUUCCUUGUGUCUAUUGCGGUGAUUCAUAAUAACUGAUCGAAUCUCUUUUUGAGAUAAAUCAUUCAAGUUUCUGCCCUAUCAGCUUUCGAUGGUAGUGUAUUGGACUACCAUGGCAGUAACGGGUAACGAAGAAUUAGGGUUCGAUUUCGGAGAGGGAGCAUGAGAAACGGCUACCACAUCUAAGGAAGGCAGCAGGCGCGUAAAUUACCCAAUCCUGACUCAGGGAGGUAGUGACAAGAAAUAGCAAACCGGGAACCUCAUGGUUUCACGGUAUUGCAAUGAGAACAAUUUAAAACCCUUAGCGAGAAUCAAGUGGAGGACAAGUCUGGUGCCAGCACCCGCGGUAAUUCCAGCUCCACUAGCGUAUAUUAAAGUUGUUGCAGUUAAAAAGCUCGUAGUUGAACCUCUGUCUGGGGCUAGUUUUGGCUUUGGUCAGGCUAGUUCUAGGCAUCCGCCUACAAGACUUAGAGGGCAUUCAGUUGUUCACUAGGAGGAGUAGGCAUUUUACUUUGAAAAAAUUAGAGUGUUUAAGGCAGGCAAUCGCCCGCAUAUAUUAGCAUGGAAUAAUAGAAUAGGACACUUUUCCAUUUCGUUGGUUAUUGGAAUCGUGUAAUGAUUAAUAGGGACAGUUGUGGGCACUUGUAUUUAAUUGUCAGAGGUGAAAUUCUUGGAUUUAUUAAAGACAAACUAACGCGAAAGCAUUUGCCAAGGAUGUUUUCAUUAAUCAAGAACGAGAGUUAGGGGAUCAAAGACGAUCAGAUACCGUCCUAGUCUUAACUAUAAACUAUUCCGACUUAAUGUUUGACUGGCUUAUAUAACCAGUUGAGCGUUGUAUGAGAAAUCAAAGUCUUUAGGUUCUGGGGGGAGUAUGGUUGCAAAGCUGAAACUUAAAGGAAUUGACGGAAGAGCACAACCAGGAGUGGAUUCUGCGGCUUAAUUUGACUCAACACGGGGAAACUUACCAGGUUAAAACAAUAGUGGGAUUGACAGUUUGAGAGCGCUUUCUUGAUUGGUUGGGUGGUGGUGCAUGGCCGUUCUUAGUUGGUGGAGUGAUUUGUCUGCUUAAUUGCGUUAACGAACGAGACCUUAACCUGCUUACUAGACUGGCGAUCAUCAAUCGUUAGCUCUUCUUAGAGGGACUUUGG
rnacentral:rRNA from 1 species